AAUAGUGAGGCUGUUCUCAUGACUGGGGCAGCGCAGGCAGAGUUAGGCUAGCCGUGAGAAGUGGCAGGAUGCUCGCAGAUCCCUCUGCUCCCUGCCUACCUAACCCUCUUAACUAACCUGGCUCUUAACCGAUGUGAAGGGUACGCUUGCAUCCGAAGGCACACCCAAGACGACCUGCUUGUGACAUGCCCUUACCCUCGGAUAGUGAAGAGAAGAAGGAAGUUGGCAACCCUCCAGCAGAGCAAGAGGAAGAGAGUUCGUCUGUCAGUCCGCAGGAAGAAGCUGAGACAGGCUAAGUUGAGGCUGCUGCUCCAGAGGGACCAUCAGAAGCAGACAGGAUAAGGGGUCAGCAGUCAGACUCAGAGUUGCUAGAUGUACAAGCAAUAACCCCCCAGGAAAGAAGGCAUACCCAGCGGCGGCUACAGCGUGAUGCACAGCUGCAGGCUUCAAGGUGAAACCGUGGAGGACUCCGAGGAGCUGCCUGCAACCUUGCCUGAGACCUCAAUGAAGAUGUCAGACAAAUAGAUCGGAGAGGACUCCGAGGAACUUCCAACAGCCUUGGCAGCAACCUUAACUUGGAUAUCAGACCGACAGGCUCCUGACACUCGGCAUCUCCGAACCAGGCCCGAACUUGGUUCUAAUUCAAAUCAAACCGGGCCACCAUUCGAGGCGGGCAAAACCAAACUGGGCAAACUUGUUUUGUGCACAUCCCUAGUGGACAAUGCACCUGUAGCACAUAGCAAAGGGAACAAUGGAGAGCAGAUCCAUUUUUUGAUUUUCAUAAUAAGUGUGUCUGUACAGCAAACUGUGAAAUUGGCUUCACACUACAGAAGAAGAAGCCACUAUGAGUGUGGUUAGGAAAGUUACAUCUGCUUUCACUUUAAUAGUACUUUACUGUUCACUUUAAUAUUCUAGAAAUUUUGCAAGUUACUAUCUUUCCCCAAAAACUAUUUGUUCACACUGUUGAUGGAACUGCCUCGGGAUGAUUGGUCAACACCCUCAGUUCAGGUGAAUGUGGGGAAUUUAGUUCAAAGGGGGAGACAGUUCAAAUCAGCCUUAAUUUGUGUAAGUAUAUAGACUCAAGAAAAUCAGCUCUAGAGAAAGUUCUAAUUAAUAAGAAGGAAUUUAUUGACAGAGAAAUAAUAAGAGCAAUAGACUAAGUUACUGGGUGGUCCUAACGUAAAAGCAAUACAAAUAUAUUUUUAAAAUAGACUAUUAUAAGGCACAUUUAGCUUAUAGUUCCAGAUUGUGUGUAAAUUCCCAGGCGGGCUAGAGAGCGGUACUUUAAGAUAGAGGAGCAAUGUUUCAGAAAUAAGAGAAAGGGUUAGAUUCCAGGGGCGGAGCCACCAUUGGGUGAACGGGUUCAAAGAACCUGGGCCGCACCCAAUCAGGGGCCGUGCCUCAUGGCCCCAACACACACACACACACACACACACCCCACAUCUGAUGUCAGACACGGGGG